GGGGUUGUGGCUCAGUGGUAGAGUGCUUGCCUAGCACACAUGAAGCACUGGGUUCGAUACCCAGCACCACA
rnacentral:tRNA from 1 species